AUAUCACUAAGCGGAGGAAAAGAAAUUAACUAAGAUUGCCUCAGUAACGGCGAGUGAAGCGGCAAGAGCCCAAACUGGAAAUCUUCACCCUCGGGUGACGAAUUGUAAUCUAAGCUGGUUCGCUCAACGGGUGGUGGCGCAGAAGUGCCUUAGAACGGGCCGCCAGAGAGGGUGACAGCCCCGUAUGUGGUGCCACUACCUAACGAGUGGGUUAGCAAAGAGUCGGGUUGCUUUGAAUUGCAGCCCUAAGUGGGAGAUAAACUUCUUCUAAGGCUAAAUAUAUAUGGGAGACCGAUAGCGCACAGUA
rnacentral:rRNA from 1 species